CCGAGUUCCGGGUCCCUGUGGCCCGCUCUCCAACCCUUUGUGUACCUACCUUUGUUGCUUUGGCGGGCCAGCUCCGGCGGCCGGUCCCCCUAACCGGGGGCGGGCCAGCGCCCGCCAGAGGAAUCUAAAACUCCAGUCAGUGAACCGUACCGUCUGAUCAGAUAUUCAAUAUCUUA
rnacentral:misc_RNA from 1 species